rnacentral:lncRNA from 1 species
AUUAAUGUCAUGAGCUGACGUGAGUAGUUUUGACAAAAUGGUGUCUAGACCGGGAGUGUCGCUAUUAGAGCCGGCAACACCUCCCCUCUUUUCUAGACAUCGGCAUGACGUUUUCUGCCGUUGCCAUGACCCAUAUUGUUGUCCCCACAUUAGGGGAUAAUCCCAAAUAAGUUUAUCACAUUAGCGUAUAUACAAUUCCUGUUUGUAUGAUCAAAAUCAAGUCUCGUUGGUAAUUCCACACCAACUUGGAGGACCUAGAGAACUUGAUGAUGAUCGAAUCCGCUAAAGAUUAUGGAUCAUGAUGCCACAAAAGAUCAUCGACACUAUGUAGUCAAUUAAGGUGGUAAGCAAUCCACUUGACUAAUAACUCAACAAGUAGAGUUAUAUGAACGUUUCGAGAAACGCUCCAUGAGUGCAUUCCACAGUACUUUGUGGUCAUUACUUUUUGCACAGAUUGCCAUUGAAGGCUUUUGUCGAUGUGGCGCGUCAAUGCCUUUGAGCACAUGAAAUGUGAAAUCUCGGCAUCUAGGCUUGUUAGCCUGGGAGUCAAAACAUGUGGUUUAAUCCUUUCCAAUGAAAGGUUCCACAGAUACUAAGCGAAGAUUCGCCUUAGGCAUCUAGUACGUCAAAACUCAAAGGAGCAGAAUGUUACAUUGCUCUUGCAUACAAAACCAAGAUGUUAUGAGACUCGAUAGAGGUUACAAACGAUGCUUUUAAUGGUUUAUCCUUCGGAUUGAUCAUACACAAUCCGGAAAAGCUGCGAAUUGAUCAAACACAAUUCGGAAAAAGGCCUCGGAUUGAUCAAACACAAUCCGGUGAAAGGUCGGGGUUGAUCAAACACAACCCGGACAAAGAAACAAGAGUGAUCAAACACACUCUUGACCCGCGAAUAAAAUUCCCGGAUUUGGGUACCUGCACGCACAAAAUCCCAAGCAUAGAAUGGAGAUGGAGAAGGGAAGAAAGCACUUUAUCUCCCCUGAGGUUAUUGAACUUGGAAGAGUUUUAGGGUUGUAAAAUAAACAUACCGUAAACACUUGGAUGCUUAAUCGGAUGAAAAGAAAGCAGCGGAGCGGACGGCGACGGCGGCGGCUGAGAGGAGAAACAACGUUUUGCCCACUUCUACUUUGAAUUUCGGGCUGAAAAUUUGAGAGGAGGAGCAGCUCUGGAUGGGGAAACUGCUGUCAAAAUUUCAGGUUGAUUGGAGCAAGGGAAGGUGGUGAACCGGUGGUCGGUAGCGGCGGCGGUCUGGAAUCUUCCGGUGGCCGGUUCGGAGACUUUCCGGCCGGUUCUCAGGGUGAGGCCGGCGGCGUUGGAUCCGGGACGGAGAGAGUUUUCUGGGGAUAUAAAAUUCCGGCGGAGGGCAGUCGGAAUUUUGGUCGGAAAUCGGGAAAAACAAGGCUGCCCGAUUCUAGGGUUUGGAAAACAAAUGGUGGGCUAUUGGCUUUAGGGUUAGAACAAAGUGCAUGAUAACGUGAUUAAGGAUAAAGUGUAGAGACAAAGAGAUGGCAAGAGAAUCAUCAUCUUAUUCAUUGAUAGGAGCCCUUUAUAUAGAGAAUUACACAAUACCAAUAUGGUAAGGAUAUGAAUACAUAGAUUUAGUUAAACUACAUAUCCUAUUGACAUAAGGCCAAGGCACACAUAAAUAAAUAUCUAGAAAGAUACAGAAUAUCCUAGAACAUUUUUAUUAUUUUAGUUAGGGAUUUAGCUUAUGAUUAGAGAGUUUGGUAAGCUAAACAAGAUUCCAUGGAAUAUUCUCAUCUUUCAAGCUAAAUUUGGCUACAAAUUUACCUUAUGGUAAAAUAUGCGUAUCUGAUAAAUGAAGACUUGCAGAAAGUCACGAACCCUCCAAAGUUGGCACCACAAUGUCCUUAUUAAUUAAUAGGUUCAAAAUGCUUGAAUAAAAAAGCAUUUCAAUUUGGCUUGUGAAAGUCUAUUUUGAUUAUCUUUUAAAUGAAAAAAUCAGGCCUUGUAAACACGCGCUUGAUCAUAAUCGUUCAAAUGUGUCAUAUUUACAUUUAAUUUUAAAUACACACCCCUAAUCUCUUAAUACACACCUGUAUUAUUUUAUGUUUUUAUUG